UGUAGUUGCAUGUCAGCACUCGUUAUUAUUAUCGUCACGUUUGUCUUGUUAGUAUGUUUAGUGUUCUUCAUGGUCAUUAAAUAAUGUAUUGGUCUCAUUGGUCUCAUCGUUACGAUGAACGUGACAAUGGGUGUGUGGUACCCUUCCUCACCAUGCCAACAAGAUGUUACUUCUUGUGGGGUCUUUGCCUUGGAAUUUGCUGAAUGUGUUCUGAAGGAGGAGUCGAUUUGUCUUUUUCAAAUGGGGACAAAAAUGUUAACAUGAGAGAGGAAAUGGCAGUCACACUCCUCAAACACUGAAACCUAUACUAUUCCUUUGUUUCCUGUUUGUGCUGAAAAAUACAUGUAAAGAUGUAGAGACUACUAGACAUUAUGACAUUGCUAGAUGACCUGAGCCAACUGUGCCACUGUGGGGAGAUGGACAAUGAAGACACUAACUUGAUUGGUUGUGUCCGCUGCCCACGAUGGUUCCAACAGUCCUGUAUGACCCAUCCCACCAUUGGAGGAUAAUGUCUGCGCUACCUGUCAGGACUAGGUUAGGCCUGAGUUCCAUAAAUAUAGAGAUGAAACUUUCCAUAAAAAUUGGACUAAAUGUUCAGUUGAGCUGUUGCAGCUUUUCAAUAUUUGUUUAUGCUAUUUGUCAUUUAAAAUCUUAUUAUGCAAAGAUUGAAAUUUGUAUUUUAUAUUUAAUGUUUGUUAUCAAACUUAAUUUUCUGUGUUAUUGUGUGGUUUGUAUUAUAUUUCUUAAACACUAUUUCAGAAACAUUUUGUUUAUACUCUAAUUUUGCUUUCUGUGGCACACUACUGGCAAAAAUUAUUCUGAAAUGUGCCAGGCCUUGCAGUCCCAAGAUGGAAGGGGGGGUAUUUCGGCAGUCAAGAAAAUUGCCUUGCCGAGAUCCCUUUCUCCAAUGAAACUCUGACGUACAGUACCAGUCAAUGUAGCCACCCUUUUCCUUGACAGCUUUGCACACUUGGCAUUCUCACAACCAACUUCAUCUGGAAUGCUUUUCCAACAGUCUUGACGGAGUUCCCACAUGCUGAGCACUUGUUCGUUGCUUUUCCUUCACCCUGCGGUCCAACUCGUCCAAAUCCAUCUCAAUUGCAUUGGUCGGGUGAUUGUGGAGGCCAUGUCAUCUGAUGCAGCACUCCAUCAAUCUCCUUGUUGGUAAAAUAGACAUUACACAGCAUGGAGGUGUGUUGGGUCAUUGUCCUGUUGAAAAACAAUGGGUUGGCGUAUUGCUGCAGCAGACAUGAAUUCUAAAUAAAUUACUGACAGUGUCACCAGCAAAGCACCCCCACAUCACACUUCCUCAUCCAUGCUUCGUGGUGGGAACCUCACAUGCGGAGCUCAUCCGUUCACCUAUGCUGCGUCUCAAAGACACAGCGGUUGGAACCAUAAAUCUUAAAAGGACAGAUUUCCACCGGUCUAAUGUCCAUUGUUUGUGUUUCUUGGCCCAAGCAAGGUUAUUAUUAUUGGUGUCCUUUUAGUAAUAGUUUCUUUGCAGCAAUUUGACCAUGAGCACGCAGUUGAUGUUGAGAUGUGAACUCUGACGCAUUUAUUUCUCGGCUUUAAUUUCAUUUGUUCCCUCAGUCUGGUGAACACGACAUCCAACUUCUCACAGUGCUCAUCGAAACCCUUUGAAAAAACAAUAUCAUCCGGCUACACUAGCAGAGUCAAGGGCCAGGUCUUCCAAGCACCACCUUCAUGAGGCACUGGAAUGUGUUCGGCGCAUUGCAUUACCCGACGGGCAUACGGGUCCACUUGAACUGGCCAAAGGGAGUGGUCACAGCAGUCUUCAUUUGAUCCUCACUCACCUUAACCUGGAAGUAUCCAACGUCGAGAAGAUGCAGGAGUUGCCCAAAGCAUCUAGGAACUCCUCCACAUGGGGAAGGGGGUAAGCAUCCUUGCAGGUCACCUGACUCGACCUCCUAUAAUCGCAACACGAGUACACGACCAUUCUUGAUGAAGAUGACUGCUAGCGAAUCCUGCUGACUGCAACUUCCCUUCAGUGUUCCUUGUGACACCAAGUUGAACACCUGUUUUACUUUCUGGAGAACUUGAGGUGAGAUCCAUCUAUGUCGUUGUUUAAUUGGCUCCGUAAAUCUCCCGUUGGUAUACAAUGUGUCACCACUGUUGCAUGGCCAGCGUAAUUUUCGGUCUUGGAGAAUACAUCCUUGUGCUCUUCCAACAUCGCCCUCCAGGUUCACUCCAAUUGACACAGGUAAGACGUCAGCCUUUACCUUGGUUACGUCAGUUUCAACCUUGUUCAGCACCUGGAUGUGCAGGGCAUUAUCUUCUACCUCAAUGGUAAUUGGCUCUUUCAAAUGAACCUCUAGGGGUUUGCAAAUUUCAGCCAGUCUAAUCUGGGGCAGCAGCCUAACAGUCUUGUCUGUAGCAUUGAGCAGUCUCACAUGCACCUCGCCCUCAUGGGUGUGGGUAAGAACAUUGGCCAACAGGACUCCAUUUGGCAGGUUCGCCCCAGCCAUCAUCCCUACCAAAACCUGCCACUUCUGCGUCGCAGGAACUCUGUAUCGACCCUCAACGAUCUUCUCACUGUACGGAGGGAUUGUGACUUUCCGCUACCUUUAUAAAGCCAAUCCUACCUGUUGGAGCAACAUAACUGGUCUGCCUCUCAAUUUUUGCCAUGAUGGCCUUCAGCAUUGCUUUCUCUCGAGCCAGUUGAUGGCGAUCUAAUUGUCACCCCUUCCUGGUAAGAGACGAGGAGUCCUUGAAGGUCGCUGAGGACAUUCAUUCCCACGAUGCCGGGUACCCCUUGUUUCUUCAUUCUCAGACGGAGGAUCCUUCAAGAUUAAGACACUUCCCAAGGAGGGUUCUUCCCAUGCACUCAAUGUUUGUCUCCAGACAGCCUAUAACAGGAAUCUCCAGCCCGUUGGCGGCAGGGAGACGCACUCAAUUUGCACACAAGUUCUGGAUCACCAUCCCCAACGUGCUUCUUAAAGUGUGUCUCAGUAAUAGUGGUGACCUCUGACUCCGUAUCAAGUAAACACCUCGCCUAGACUCCAGCGAUUGCCACGUCAACUAUCAGACAGUUACCAAAAGCUUUAGAAUUCUGACUAGCCUGGGUUUCUUUCAAAGAGUUGCAAACAGCUGACUGACUACUGAUGGUUGAUGGUCUUCUCUCAUCCUGGUCAUCAGUGUCUGUUGGCCCAACAUGGCAUGGUCCUCCCAGUAGUCUCUAACUGAACCCCCACCGAGAUAUAUCUACCAUUGUCUUAGUGGAUUUCUCCUGCGUGGGACCUGAUCAUCUUGGGGGGGUUCGCCCUCUCUUGGUCUGGCAAACGUCCUGAACCAGAUCUUCGCGACGAGCAGCUAUCUUCUGAAUUGCUUCUUGGAGCCUCUCUAUGGUUAUAGAAGAUGACUGCGUUACUGCCGCAGCUGCACUCGCUGUGCCUCGUAUUUUGUUGCUGUUCAAUGCUGGGGUUAGAGCGUGGUUCUCCUCCACCUCUGACCAAGUGAUGGCAGCAUUCAUCACAUAAAUGAAGGACAUUUUCUUCUCGUUCAGGACUGUCUUUUUCAUCUCCCGAUGCAAGGCGUCAUCCCGGAAUCCCAACACCAGCUGUAUUUCCUCAGUUUGAGGUUUCUUUCUCACUCUAACUUUGUUUGCAGGUCAUGCAUAAGCCCAAAUGGUUUUGCCAGCUUCUUGUAGAAGAUGUUGCCAGCAUUUUUACACUAACAUCAGCUUCACAAUUGCACUGGCCUCUCCUCCUUUCAGGUGUUGUUUGAUUAGCUCAACCCAAUCACUCACUGGCACACGUGAAACCCGACUGGUCAACUUUACUAGAGCAAUCCAUUCCUAAACAGCACACUGAAGUCAGGUAGCUUUCAUUCUCAAGGAAUGUACACAGUUGGUGCAGAAACCUUCUUUUGCUGCUCGAUUACAGCAUAUGUGCCAGCGGCAUAGCUUCUCGCUGAUCUUCACGGGUCUGCUGCAGUGCUCCACAUUGCAACAGCAAUCUCAACUUUUUAAAAAUCUUCCAUCUCUAACCUAGCCUCAGACCCCUCUUCCAUUUUUCAACAAGGAAAAACAGUUUGAUUUAUAUUUUUGUGACGACAAAUGUAACGGGUAGGAAACGCCUGUUUUUCUCAGCUCAGCCUUGGAAGGUUGAACGUCAAACAGAGCGGUGUCCCUGUUUCCCAACCCAUUUAACCUCACGACAGUACUUACUAGUAAUGGCACCUUUCCUGAUAGUCUGAGUUAUUUUUGUCCUAUACUAUGUGCUUAAUCCUCCUGUUGUGUUCGUUUCAUGUUAAUUCAUUCUGUUUCUGGUCCAAAAUGACCGCCCCAUUAUAACUGAUUAUAAAUACAUAUAUUAUCACCUAAUGUUGUGUUAAAUCUUUUUAUCAACUUAAGUUCUUAUGAACAUUACAAGUUUUGAAUAUCUAUUUGUUAUUUAUGGCCUGUAGGUGUCAUUGACCUGAGCUCAUACAAGUUGUUUUUGAGUUUAAAAAAAAGCAUAAUGUAUGUAUUAUUUUGACUAUAACAAAUACUCAGCUUAAACAUUGUGCUAUUUAUCAGACUACUUUGUGUCAGUUUAACAAGGACAUUUGUUUUGAAACCAUAAUAGUGGCACAAAAUAACAUCUGUGUUCCCGGUCACAACUGAUCGGUAUGAUUUUAUUAGUAAAGAAACGACAGGCCCAAAACUACACACGAACACUUUACCAUGUUACCAAAUUAAUGUCUGAACACAUUAAAGAACAAUAACAAACAUUACUGUUCACAAUAUCUUCACAAUAUGUUUUCUGAUUGCAGUCGUUGUACUCAUAAUAUACAGG
ensembl:lncRNA